UCCGCCACUGUAGUCACUGUAUAAUAACUGCGUGCGUGAGCCACUUACAAAUUUUCCACAUAUAAAGGAUGGCGAAACAUAAUCGUUGUAGAAAUGGGUUGAGUUAAAAUCUUAACUUCUCUAUAAUAUAUAUACUCUGUAUAUAAUACGAGCGAAUUUUCCAAGGUUUUCACUUAUAUUUUCUUGUCGGAAAUACUAAGAUGAGAUAUUCGAAACGUGUGUG